CGAAUUGGGAAAUGAUUUGAGCUCAGCAGAAAGAUAAAGAAAAGCAUCCCAAGGAAGAUACCCUAGUGCAGAGCUGGUUCCUGUUCCAGUCGAUUCUGAGUUGGUGUUCACCGCCUGAUGCGGUGCUGAGAGCU
rnacentral:lncRNA from 13 species